GCCUGGGUGGCUCAGUUGGUUAAGCAUCCGACUUCAGCUCAGGUCAUGGUCUCACUGUCCGUGGGUUCGAGUCUCUCUUCAGGCU
rnacentral:tRNA from 1 species